rnacentral:rRNA from 1 species
AUUGAACGCUGGCGGCAGGCCUAACACAUGCAAGUCGAACGGCAACAGGAAGAAGCUUGCUUCUUUGCGGACGAGAGGCGGACGCGUGAGAAAUGUACGGGAAACUGCCCGAUGGAGGGGGGGAACUACUGGGAAAGGUAGCUAAAAUACCACAAACUCCCAAGGGCAAAGAGCGGGAGCUCUUGGCACCUUGCCAGCGGGUGUGCCCAGAUGGGAUUAGCUAGUAGGGGGGGGAAAGGCUCACCUAGGCGACGAUCCCUAGCUGGUCUGAGAGGAUGACCAGCCACACUGGAACUGAGACACGGUCCAGACUCCUACGGGAGGCAGCAGUGGGGAAUAUUGCACAAUGGGCGCAAGCCUGAUCCAGCCAUGCCGCGUGUAUGAAGAAGGCCUUCGGGUUGUAAAGUCCUUUCGUCGGGGAAGAAAAGCGGCAAGUUAAUACCUUUGCGUAUUGACGUUACCCAAAGAAUAAGCACCGGCUAACUUCGUG